rnacentral:pre_miRNA from 9 species
UCUCGAUAACGUAAAAGUUAACUUAAAUUUGUAUGGAGUUCAAACAUUUGCUGACGUUUGCCGCUAGGGGCGCUUUUCCAAUUGCAUACAAAUUUGAGCUAACUUUUACGCUAUCGA